CGCUCACAAAACACCUCUUAAACGCAGCCAAACUACUUAUCCCAACCAACUGGCGGACCGCACGGGAAAGCACCAUCCAACAAUGGAUGGACAAGGUGGAGGAAAUCCACGGGAUGGAGACCUUCACAGCAACCAUGAAGGGAACAGUGGACAAAUACAUGCAGACUUGGACCCCAUGGAUGGAUUUCAUAUCACACAGCAGGCUGUAAGACUAUCAAUCCCCGUGUG